rnacentral:rRNA from 2 species
UACGUAGGUGGCAAGCGUUGUCCGGAAUUAUUGGGCGUAAAGCGCGCGCAGGUGGUUUCUUAAGUCUGAUGUGAAAGCCCACGGCUCAACCGUGGAGGGUCAUUGGAAACUGGGGAACUUGAGUGCAGGAGAGAAGAGUGGAAUUCCACGUGUAGCGGUGAAAUGCGUAGAGAUGUGGAGGAACACCAGUGGCGAAGGCGACUCUUUGGCCUGUAACUGACACUGAGGCGCGAAAGCGUGGGGAGCAAACAG